CCUACGGGGGGCUGCAGUGAGGAAUAUUGCGCAAUGGAGGCAACUCUGACGCAGCCAUGCCGCGUGCAGGAAGAAGGCGCUACGCGUUGUAAACUGCUUUUAAUCGGGAAGAAACCCCGGGACGUGUCCCGGGUUGACGGUACCGAUGGAAUAAGCACCGGCUAACUUCGUGCCAGCAGCCGCGGUAAUACGAAGGGUGCAAGCGUUAUCCGGAUUCAUUGGGUUUAAAGGGUGCGUAGGCGGAACAAUAAGUCAGCGGUGAAAGCCUGCAGCUUAACUGCAGAACUGCCGUUGAUACUGUUGUUCUUGAGUACGUUUGACGUGGGCGGAAUGUGCCGUGUAGCGGUGAAAUGCUUAGAUAUGGCACAGAACACCGAUAGUGAAGACAGCUCACGAAGACGAAACUGACGCUGAGGCACGAAAGCGUGGGGAGCGAACAGGAUUAGAUACCCCUGUAGUC
rnacentral:rRNA from 1 species